AUUUGAAUAAUUUAAAAAAAAAUAUUGAUUUGUGGAAUCAAAAAUAUGAUUUGUUCAUUUCAAAUU
rnacentral:tRNA from 1 species